CUCAACAGAGGCUGGAGGAGGCAGAAGCUGCAUCUCUUUUUGUUCAGCAAUUUGUUGCUUUUGUCUACCAAGUGCAGGAAAUCCUUUAAGAUAAAAAAUAAAAUAGUGCUGAACAACCUGUGGACAGCUAGCUAUGUGGACAAAGUGGGGAAUGGCCACAUCUCUACUGGGAGGUCCCUUCUCUUGGGCUGGCCCAUGGCGAACUUCGUGGCCACAUUUUGGGCUCUGAAGAUUACCAGCUGUGGGUCACUUCUGGCAUGAAAAAGGCCCCAUGUCCACUCAUUGGGCACAAGCAUUCUUACAGAAUUAAAAUGAGCCAUCCUCAAGCCAUUAUGCUCCUGCCACAGGGACAGUGAACUCCAUCUCUCCUUCCAUCUUUCAGGAGCCCUUCUUUUGGCAGGGGUCUAACACUUGCCAGGACAACCUAUGCAUGACUCUACCAGCCUUAAAGCUAGGCCAGCUCUUUGGAGCUUCUCUCACAGAUGUUUGUGAGAAUGACAACAUACCCACCCCUCUCUGGAUAUGCCUUUUUAAAAAGCAACCAAAAAGGGCCACUCAACAGAAGGUAUCUUCAGAAAAUUGGCAAAUAUAAAAUCAUAUCGAGCCCUAAAGGAGAAACUAAAUUCUGCAGAUAAAGUGAACUUGGACAAUUUGAGUCCAUUCUUCUGGAAACAUCAUUCUUAAAUGAAAGAAUAUCCAAGGAAGUAUAUUUUCAUCCAGUCUCUAUGAUGAAUGGCUUGGUGUAUUCAUCAAGGGAAUGAAGAGGAGAAAAUAAUUGCUAUCCAGAGGCUUUUAGACCAGCUGCCAAUGUUGUUCUCUUGAGAUACCUUUUUGGAGUGUACACACUGAAUAUUCCUCAUCCAAUCAGAUAAAAGCUUAUAAUUUAUCAACAUGUAUAGCCCCAAGCAUUCUUCAGCUGUCCACUUCCUGCAGCUCAAAACUAGAAAAUGCAUUCACAAAAAGUCCAGUGUGAUGACUCUGACUUUAAAAAAGAGAAUUCACAAAAAAGGUUUCUCUUGUACAAUUUCUCAUUGAAAACCGCCUCAUGAUAUUUGGAAAAGACAUCACUUUCCUCUUUGGGAAGAACUCAGAGUUGUGAUAAUAGCCAGAAGGCUUUAGUGAAAACAGAGCAACCUCUUUAAUCCAAGCCAGUGAGAGUCAUGGUGGUUUACAA
rnacentral:lncRNA from 1 species